CGAACGGGUGAGUAACGCGUGAGUAACCUGCCCUGGAGUGGGGGACAACAGUUGGAAACGACUGCUAAUACCGCAUAAGCCCACGGAUCCGCAUGGAUCUGCGGGAAAAGGAUUUAUUCGCUUCAGGAUGGACUCGCGUCCAAUUAGCUAGUUGGUGAGGUAACGGCCCACCAAGGCGACGAUUGGUAACCGGACUGAGAGGUUGAACGGCCACAUUGGGACUGAGACACGGCCCAG
rnacentral:rRNA from 1 species